rnacentral:rRNA from 1 species
CAUAUUGUGAGCUCGAUGAGUAGGGCGGGACACGUGGUAUCCUGUCUGAAUAUGGGGGGCCCAUCCUCCAAGGCUAAAUACUCCUGACUGACCGAUAGUGAACCAGUACCGUGAGGGAAAGGCGAAAAGAACCCCGGCGAGGGGAGUGAAAAAGAACCUGAAACCGUGUACGUACAAGCAGUGGGAGCACGCUUAGGCGUGUGACUGCGUACCUUUUGUAUAAUGGGUCAGCGACUUAUAUUCUGUAGCAAGGUUAACCGAAUAGGGGAGCCGAAGGGAAACCGAGUCUUAACUGGGCGUUAAGUUGCAGGGUAUAGACCCGAAACCCGGUGAUCUAGCCAUGGGCAGGUUGAAGGUUGGGUAACACUAACUGGAGGACCGAACCGACUAAUGUUGAAAAAUUAGCGGAUGACUUGUGGCUGGGGGUGAAAGGCCAAUCAAACCGGGAGAUAGCUGGUUCUCCCCGAAAGCUAUUUAGGUAGCGCCUCGUGAAUUCAUCUCCGGGGGUAGAGCACUGUUUCGGCA